UUGUAGCAAUACAGCAGUGGCGCACGGGUGAGUAACACGUGGAUAUCUGCCUUUUGGUUCGGAAUAACCCUGGGAAACUAGGGCUAAUACCGAAUGGUUCCUACGGGAUAAAGAUUUAUCGCCAAAAGAUGAGUCCGCGUACGAUUAGCUAGUUGGUGAGGUAAUGGCUCACCAAGGCGACGAUCGUUAGCUGGUCUGAGAGGACGAUCAGCCACACUGGGACUGAGACACGGCCCAGACUCCUACGGGAGGCAGCAGUGGGGAAUAUUGGACAAUGGGGGCAACCCUGAUCCAGCCAUGCCGCGUGAGUGAUGAAGGCCUUCGGGUUGUAAAGCUCUUUUGGCGGGGACGAUGAUGACGGUACCCGCAGAAUAAGCCCCGGCUAACUUCGUGCCAGCAGCCGCGGUAAGACGAAGGGGGCUAGCGUUGUUCGGAAUUACUGGGCGUAAAGCGAGUGUAGGCGGUUGUCAUAGUCAGGCGUGAAAGCCUUGAGCUUAACUCAAGAAAUGCGCUUGAUACUGGAUGACUAGAGGACCGGAGAGGAUAGUGGAAUUCCCAGUGUAGUGGUGAAAUACGUAGAGAUUGGGAAGAACACCAGUGGCGAAGGCGGCUAUCUGGACGGUACUGACGCUAAGAC
rnacentral:rRNA from 1 species